CCUACGGGUGGCAGCAGUGAGGAAUAUUGGUCAAUGGGCGCGAGCCUGAACCAGCCAAGUAGCGUGAAGGAUGACUGCCCUACGGGUGGUAAACUUCGUUUAUAAAGGAAUAAAGUCAUGCACGUGUGCGUUUUUGUAUGUACUUUAUGAAUAAGGAUCGGCUAACUCCGUGACAGCAGCCGCGGUAAUACGGAGGUUCCGAGCGUUAUCCGGAUUUAUUGGGUUUAAAGGGAGCGUAGGUGGAUUGUUAAGUCAGUUGUGAAAGUUUGCGGCUUAACCGUAAAAUUGCAGUUGAAACUGGCAGUCUUGAGUACAGUAGAGGUGGGUGGAAUUCGUGGUGUAGCGGUGAAAUGCUUAGAUAUCACGAAGAACUCCGAUUGCGAAGGCAGCUCACUGGACUGCAACUGACACUGAGGCUCGAAAGUGUGGGUAUCAAACAGGAUUAGAUACCCGAGUAGUC
rnacentral:rRNA from 1 species